rnacentral:rRNA from 1 species
GACGAACGCUGGCGGCGUGCUUAACACAUGCAAGUCGAACGGAAAGGCCCUGCUUUUGUGGGGUGCUCGAGUGGCGAACGGGUGAGUAACACGUGAGUAACCUGCCCUUGACUUUGGGAUAACUUCAGGAAACUGGGGCUAAUACCGGAUAGGAGCUCCUGCUGCAUGGUGGGGGUUGGAAAGUUUCGGCGGUUGGGGAUGGACUCGCGGCUUAUCAGCUUGUUGGUGGGGUAGUGGCUUACCAAGGCUUUGACCGGUAGCCGGCCUGAGAGGGUGACCGGCCACAUUGGGACUGCGAUACGGCCCAGACGCCUACGGGAGGCAGCAGUGGGGAAUAUUGCACAAUGGGCGGAAGCCUGAUGCAGCAACGCCGCGUGCGGGAUGACGGCCUUCGGGUUGUAAACCGCUUUCGCCUGUGACGAAGCGUGAGCGACGGUAAUGGGUAAAGAAGCACCGGCUAACUACGUG